rnacentral:lncRNA from 1 species
CUAAACUAGAGUGAUCAAUCCCAUCUUGACACACGCACCGACAAGUCAAGUACUUGACUACACCGAGCAGCCUUCCGUCACUGAAUUAAAAAUUCAGGUAGUCCAGUGCCUAAGUGCAGUGAGUUGCUUGCAAGUCACCGUGGCGGUCUCAGAUCGGAGGGAUAUUUAUACCCAUAUUCCAUCGGAGCAAAUCUUGACAGCAGAAAUAGCUUCGGAGUCGGUCACGUUCAGUGCAGAUGUACCCUUACAUCUCACCUGUAUGCCAUACCAGUAUCUCCAUACUCAUUGGUUAAGAGGACAACC